CCUACGGGAGUCAGCAGUGGGGAAUAUUGCACAAUGGGGGAAACCCUGAUGCAGCGACGUCGCGUGAGUGAUGAAGUAGUUCGGUAUGUAAAGCUCUAUCAGCAGGGAAGAAAAUGACGGUACCUGACUAAGAAGCCCCGGCUAACUACGUGCCAGCAGCCGCGGUAAUACGUAGGGGGCAAGCGUUAUACGGAUUUACUGGGUGUAAAGGGAGCGUAGACGGCUGUGCAAGCCAGAUGUGAAACCCCGGGGCUCAACCCCCGAACUGCAUUUGAAACUGUUGGUCUUGAGUAUCGGAGAGGCAGGCGGAAUUCCUAGUUUAGCGGUGAAAUGCGUAGAUAUUAGGAGGAACACCAGUGGCGAAGGCGGCCUGCUGGACGACAACUGACGGUGAGGCGCGAAAGCGUGGGGAGCAAACAGGAUUAGAUACCCCAGUAGUC
rnacentral:rRNA from 1 species